rnacentral:rRNA from 1 species
UACGGUCAUAUUACGUUGAAACACUGAUUCCCGUACGAUCACCGAAGUUAAGCAACUUCGAGACUGGUCAGUACCUAGAUGGGUGACCGCUUGGGAAUACCAGGUGCUGUAA